GAUCUGAGAGGCUCUCAUUUUGUGUCUUCCCUUCACAGAAUAAGCACAAUCCUCUGUCCCAUAAUGAUUAUGAGGUAAAUUACCACAGCAUCCGUGACGUGUAUUAGCAGUAAAACGGAAGAUAAGCAGAAUUUUGUCGGUCUGUGCUGUAUGAGAUACCAGUGUCCAUCAUAGAGGUGGGAUGGGUUUGGAGACAGAACUGGGCAGUGCUGGCCAUCAUUUAACCCAGCCAAACCUCUCUGCCUAUCUGUAGAGUGGACAGUCACCCUGAGGGUUAGGACAACAGACACGGAAGGAGCUAGUGACUGCCCGCAGAAGGCCCAGAAUAACUACCUAUUUGCUGGAAAGUGUCAGUUCCCAAUUACCACUCUCCAGUAAAAGGAACCAUGUUCGUCAGAGAAGUUCCUGAUGCUAGGAGUAGGGUAAGAAACGUAAGUGUGUAGCUUGUACAGACAGACGGGAAGAGCUCAAAAACAAAUCAGUGAGGAUGUGUCUCUGGGUGCGUGCAAAAACAACAACGCAAGCUGCUGGCUUAAGGGCAGGGACACCUAUGUCAGAGCAUGCAGGUGGGAGUCAGAGGACAACUCGAAGGGGUCCAUUCUCUCCUUCUGCCAUAGACUCUCAUUGGCCUGGAACUUACCAGAAAGCUUCAGGAGGCCACCUGCCGCCACCUCUGCAGCCUGUGGUUGCAAGCAUGAGCAACCACGUGUUUUUGUUUUAAAUACCAGUUUCGGAGAUUGAAUUGAAGACCUAAGGCUUGCCCACAAGCAUUUACCAACUGAACUGUCACCUACGACACCCUGCCUUUUAGAGACAAGGUCUUGCCAGGUAGCUCAGGUUGGCCUUUGACUUGCAGUAACCCUCCUGCCUCAGCUUCCUCCAGGUCAGAACCACAGGCUUGCACUACCCUUUUCUUUCUUUCCUUGCCAUUGCCUAGAUCCACUGGUGCAACUGUUAAUCAGUAUAUUUUUCUUACACAUUUUCUCCAGGUUGCCAAUGCAAGUCCCACCCCUCCUCUCAUUUGUAGGUAUUUUAGGCAUCCUACAAGCUUGCAUUCAGUUUUAGUUUGGGAGAAAAAUUUUUCCUGCUUGCUUCUCACUUGUGUUGAGAAAACACUGACUGAAAGGAACUUGAAUUUUAUUUGGCUUCCAGGUCACAGUUCAUCAUCGGGGGACACCAAGGCAAGAACUCAAGGCAAGAAGCUGCAGGCAGAGCCUGAAGCAGAAGCCAUGGAGGAACACUGCUUACUGACUUGGUUUCCAUGGCUCACCUAUGUUAUGUAGGCCAGACUCACCUGCCCACGGAGGGUUGAACCCUCCUCCUUUAAUUAGCAGUCAAGAAAAAUCACCCGAGAUUACCUAUAGUCCAUGCUGACGGAACCACUUCCUCAACUGAAGUUCCCUCUUCCCAGGUCUGUCUAGCUGAUGUCUGAAGCUGACAGAAAGCUUACCACAAAUGAGUGCUGUGUUUUUUUAUUGUACACGCUUCUGCUGCAUCCACUGAGGUAACCAUAUGAUUUUCCCUUUAUUACGUUAUUCUGGGAACUGAUCAUUUGUUUAAAAUACCAGUGGUGGCACAUGCCUUUAAUCUCAACACUUAGGAAGCUGGGGCAGGAAGACUGAUGAAAGUUCAAGGCCAGCCUAGGACACAUCAUGUGACCCUGACUCAAAAUAAAACAAACAAACAAAAAAGACUAUCCAACUGAGGUAACCCUUUUAGGGGAUAAAGGUCAUUCUGUCUUCCUAUACCAGUCGGGAAGUGUUCCCCCUGUUAGCAGUUCCUGGAAAAACAAAUAUUUACUGUCCUUGACUGUUCAGUGGUAUCCACUGCUAGGACUUGGCGUAUCAUUUCUAGGAAGAGAUGCAGAGGUGACAUUAUUUAGGUUUUGCUUGCUUUUAAUAGAUUGUAGGGUUUUUUAUUUUACUAGAUUGUAUUUUAACCUUCCAAUUUAUAAGCAUAAAAAUAUUCAUAGGCUCCUUGUUUAUGAUGCCUUCCGUGUGUGUGUGUGUGUGUGUGUGUGUGUGUGUGAAUGUGUGCAUGUGAAUGUGUGUGAGUAUGUGUAAGAGAGGGUGUGUGAAUGUGUGCCUAUGAGUGUGUAGUUUUCUAUUUUUCAGACAGGACCUUACUAGUCCUAGCUGGUUUGGAGCUCACUAUGUAGAACAGGCUGGCCUAGAAUUCACUGAGAUCCGCGUGCCUCUCUGCCUCUCAAGUACUGGGAUCAAAGACCUGAGCCUCCCUGGCUGGCUCAUACGUUUUUCAUCCACUCAUUGAAUUGCUCUUGCUGAAUACCCAGGUUCAGUUCUUAGCACCCGCGUGGUGGCAGGAUCACAAUUGCCAGUAACUCCAGUUCCGGGAGGCAGUGGGAUCCAAAACCCUCUUCUGGCUUCCAGGAGUUCCUGUGGUGCACAUAAACAAAUGCCCUCUCUCUUCCUCUCUCUCGGUUGCGCACACACACACACACACACACACACACACACACACACACACACAAAUAAAUGAAUAAACAAACCUCAAGUGUGUCUUAGAAUUUUAAGGUCAUAAUAUGAGUCAUUUAUAAUUAAUUGAGUGAGCUCUUGCAAGAUGAUUUAAAGUAGAUUUAAGUAGAUUUGAGUAUUUUAUCCUAAUUCCACACUCCGCUAAGGCCCCUGGCACUACCCACUCCCUUCUAAGUUGGCUCAAUUUACGGCUCCCUCGGUCUCUGACUCAAUUGCUCCUGGGGGCUUUGGAUACCGAGCCAGGAGCACUGAGUGGAUGGACUAAGAGCUGGGAAAUUAAAAACUUCCCAGAGUUGCGCCCCAUCAAUUAAUUAGUGGCCAUAGUUGUCAGAUGCAUAUCACAGUUUCUGUUCUCUUCCUGUGGGGUUAACUCUCAGCCGCACGCUCUACGCUGGCUCCGAGUUUCUGAGCAGGGAGAAGCUCUGCUGACUCUCGGUGAAACUUUUUUGAAGCCUGCACUCUGGUUUUGCAGACUCAGCACUGACUCUCCCACUCCCUUCCCUUCCUCGCUCCCUCAGAAUGAACCAUCAGGGUUAGCUUCAAGAAUACACAGCUUCAGCUCUGGGUUCGCUUCUUGGUAAAGUUCUUCAGCCCACUUUGUGAAAAUCUAUCUUAGUUUUAUACAGUCAGCGUUUGCUUAGAGACUCUGUAGACCAGGCUGUCCUCGAGUUCACAGAGAUCCAUUUGCCUCAGCCUCCUGAGUGCAGGGACUAAAGGCAUGCACCACCAUGCCCAGUUGUUUAUUCCUUAACUCUGGGAUCAUUUUUCUCUUACUUGAAUUAACUGCUUUAAACACUGCUUUUGCCUUCUGUGGGCGGUGCACGAGUAGCUAACACCUCCAGUUAUAGGCUGUCUAAACAUUGUCUAAACACUCCACCCUCCUCCUCCUCUUCCUCCUCCUCUUCCUCCUCUCCCUCUUCUUCCUUCUCCUCCUCCUCCUCUUCCUCCUCUUCUUCUUCCUUCUCCUCCUCCUCCUCUUCCUCCUCUUCCUCUUUCUCCUCCUCCUCCUUCCCUUCCUCCUCCUCUUUCUCCUCCUCCUCCUCUUCUUCCUCCUCUUCUUCCUCCUCUUCCUCCUUCUCCUCCUCCUCCUCUUCCUCCUCCUCUUCUUCCUCCUCCUCCUUCUCCUCCUCCACUUCCUUUCCUCCUUCCUUCCUCCUCCUCCUUCCCUUUCUCUUCCCCCUCCUUCCUCCUCCUCUUCUUCUUCCUCCUCCUCUUCCUCCUCCUCCUUCUCUUCCUCCUUUUUUGUAGACCUGGCGGGUCUCCAGUCCCCUGCCUCUGCCUCCUGAGUGCUGGGAUUACAGGUGUAUGCCACUAUCCCCAUCUUUCUUCACCCUUAUCUCUGAAGCUUCCUUUCACUGGAUGUGGAGCUCUAGGUUGGUAACUAGUUUUUUUUUUUUUUUUUUUUUUUUUUUUAGCUGAUUGAGGAUAUUGUCUUCCUGAUGUGGUGAGACACACCAAUUCAAGGCUCCCCUGGUUUAUGUAGGGAAACCCUGUCCUGGCCCCAGGACAAAGAAGACACAGGAGGGCCUUGGAUAUGAACUUCAAGGGGACAGCAGGGAUAAGGAGUUUAUUAGAGCAGUUAUUAAUGUCACAGACAGAUGGACAGACAGAUGGAUGGACAGACAGACAGACAAAAAAGCAUGGCAGGAAUUCUCAACAGAGUUCAGGCUCCAGUACCAGAUAAUAGAUAACAUGGUGGGGAGUUCAGACCCCAGCAAUACAGAGAAAGUUUGGAAGAGAAGAAUCAGGCCCACAGAGCAGAGCCCUUCUGGCCCUCUGAGGAAGGGGGUUUCAGAGUACAUGUCUGUAGCUGUGCUCUCUGAUUCCAUGGCAGAUGGCUGGGAAGGGGUAGGGAGCAGGAUCACUGUCCAGCCGUGCUCUGACGUGAACUCACUUCCCAGCUGAGAGACGCCAGCACCAGAAGUCUGUGAACUACAGAGUCAGUGUCUUAGCAAGGUGCCAGCUAGUGUGUGAGAAGGGCGGGGCUGCCUCAGGUACAGCGUUCUGAGGUCUGCUCUUGCAGUGUCCUGUGUUCUCUCUUCCUAGUUUCUGUUCGCUCCAGGACAAACUCAGCUGUUAAUCUUAUUACAGCUUUUGAAGACUGUGUGCUUUUCCCCCUAGGUCUUUUGAGAUCUCUCCCUGUUUACUGGUGAAAUUAUCCUUCCAGCUAUUUUUUGGACAGCUAAUCAAUUUAACAAUUGUUUAUUAAACCAGGUUUGGUGGCACAAGCCUUUAAUGCCAGCACUUGGGAGGCAGAGGCAGGAGGCUCUGUGAGUUCAAGGACAGCCUGGUCUACAUCGUGAGUCCUAGGCCAGUCAGGGCUACACAGUGAGAACUUGUCUCCAACAAAACCAAACUUUUAAAUCUCUGUCAUAUUGUACUAGAGUCCUUAAAAAAUGUGUGUGCACACAUGUGUGUAUAAACAGAUUAAUUAUAAGGAAACAGGUCACGUGACAACGGGUGCCUAAGAGACCCAAAUUUAGAAGGGUUUAUGAUAUAAGGUUCAGUUUGGGGCAGGAAAGAUGGCUCCGUGGUUAAGCACACUGACUGUUCUAGAUCCAGAGGUCCUGAGUUCAAUUCCCAGCAACCACAUGGUGGCUCAAAACCAUCUGUAAUGGGAUCCAAUGCCCACUUCUGGAGUGUCUUAGAAAAGCAACUGUGUACUUACAUACAUAAAUAAAUCUUUUUAAAAAAGUUUCAGUUUGGGGUUGGGGAUUUAGCUCAGUGGUAGAGCACUUGCCUAGCUCCGAAAAAAAAGAAAAAAGAAAAAAAAAAGUUUCAGUUUGGGUUCCAAAGACAGGAGGCCAGUGCCUUUCAUAGAGAUAACCACUUCCCUACAAUUUGCAACAUCAUUAUUUAACAUGGUUUAAAAUUUAUCUUUAUGUUUAAAUUGUGUGUGUGUGUAGUGUGUGUGUGUGUAUGUGUGUGUAUGUGUGUGUGAGUGUGUGUGAGUGAGUAUGUGUAUGUGUGGGGGGGAGUGUGUGUAUGUGUGUGUAUGUGUGUGUAUGAGUGCAUGUGAGUGUGUGUGUAUGUGUGUGAGAGUGUGUGUGUGUGAGUGUAUGUGUAUGUGUGUAUGUAUAUCUGUGUAUGUCUGUGCGUGUGUAUGUGUGUGUAUGUGUGUGUAUGUGUGUGUGAGUGUGUAUUUGUGAGUGUGUAUGUGUGUGUGUAGUGUGUGUGGUAUGUGUAUGUGUGUGCAUGUGCGUGUGUGCAUGUGCGUGUGUGUAUAUGUGUGUGUAUGUGUGUGUGAGUGUGUGUGGGAGUGUGUGUAUGUGAGUGCGUGUGUAUGUGUGUGUAUGUGUGUAUAUGUGUGAGAGUGUGUGAGUGUGAGUGUGUGUGAGUGUAUGUGUAUAUGUGUAUGUAUAUCUGUGUAUGUCUGUGUGUGUAUGUGUGUGUAUGUGCGUGUGAGUGUGUGAGUGUUUGUGAGUGUGUAUGUGUGUGUGAGUGUGUGUGAGUGUAUGUGUAUGUGUGUGCAUGUGCGUGUGUAUGUGUGUGUGAGUGUGUGAGUGUUUGUGAGUGUGUAUGUGUGUGAGUAUUUGUGAGUGUGUAUGUGUGUGUGCGUGUAUGUGUGUGUGUGUGUGUGUGUGUGUGUGUGUGUAGGUGCCCAUGAGUGCAGUGCCUGCCAAGGCCAGAAGAAGAUGCUACUCUCCUGCAGCUGGAGUUACAGGCAGCCCACAUGGGUGCUGGAAAUUGAACUUGGGUCCCCUGGAAGAGCAACAAGCCCUCUUAACUGCGUCUGUGGCUCGGGAUUCCACAUGUGGUUGGAAACAUCCCUUAAGGCUUCAGGCAUGGCAGCUGAAGUCAUCCUGAGUUUGUUCAACAUCUGCUAAGCUCACCAUUAGGAGGAUGGUAAAGAGUUCACCUCACUUUGGAAGUUACCUACAUAGAAAAAAAAAUCCUGAAAUUACCUUGGAAAUACGAAAGACCCCCAAAUGGCCAAAGUGAUCUUAAGCAUACGUCACAGUGCCAGAUUUCACAUCGCGCUGCAGGGCCACAGUGACACAAGCAACCCGAUGCUGGCACGUGCACAGACAUGUGGACCAAUGGAGCAGAACAGCAGGCAGAGAUAAAGCACAUGGCUGUGUGCACCGGAAGCUCAGCGACGAUGCCCAAAGCAUGCCUCGGAGAAAGGACAGCUUCUGCUCAGAUGGUGCUGGAAAAGUCAGACCCCCAGCUCUUGCUCAGCAGAAAAGCCAGCCCAGGAUCCGUCAAAGGCAGCGGUGUCAAACUUAACGGUUUCAAAAAACCAUCACGGGGAACAUACCUCAAGACACAGGCAUAGGCUUUCAGACUAGGACUUGGGUGGCCCAGGAGAUAAUAGCCAGCAUUGACAGUCACACGAGAUAAAAACCCACAUAGCAAAGGGAACGAUUUCUCGAUCACUGCACUCCACAAGGCUGCUCAGGACUUCCUUGGAGUCUGCGAGUUUCUUCAGAUUUACUUUCCUAUACUCUUUUUUUUUUUUUUUUCAGAGCUGGGGACCGAACCCAGGGCCUUGCGCUUGCAAGGCAAGUGCUCUACCACUGAGCUAAAUCCUCAACCCCUCUUCAGAUUUACUUUAACUACACACACUUUCUGUUUCUUGUGAGUCAGUAAGGUCAGCAAGUAAGAUACCGAUGAGCACCAAUUAGCUAAGUUGUUCCUUGACAGGAUGAGACGGAAGGGACCUCAGGAAGGCCAUCUGGACAGGCCUUGUGCAAAUGGUGUAUGCUACAAUGUCACCUAUUAAGGCACUGAAUGGGAGGCCUGGAGUGAAUGUUCGGUGAUUGAGAGCACUGUUUGCUCUUUCAGAAACUGGGGUUCAAUUCCUAGCACCCACCCAGCAGUUCAUGACCCAGGCCCUAGGGGUUAAGCACCAGGUAUUCAUGUGGUACAUAGGCUUUGUCUUAGAGUUACUGUGGCUGAAACUCUUGACCAAAAGCAGCUUAGGGAGGAAAUGACUUACUUGCCUUAUACUUCUAUGUCCAUAUUCAUCACUGAAGGAAGUCAGGACAGGAACUCAAGAAAGAACCCAGGACCACCAGCCCAGUGAUGGUACCACCCACAACGAGCAGAGUCCUUCUCUCUCCCGUAAAUCAAGAAAAUGCCCUACAGGCUUCCCUAUGGUCUGAACUUAUGGAGGCAUUUUUUUUUUCUUUCAAAUGAGGCUCCCUCCUCUCUAAUGACUCUAGCUUGUGUCAAGUUCACAUAAAACUAGCCACCAUGACAUAUAUGGUGGCUUAACGACCAUACACAUACAAUAAAAUAAAAAGAAUUUAAAAAAAAAAAGAAAGAAAUUGAAUGCAUGACCAGGCAUGGUGGCACACACUUGUAAUCCAAGUAUCUGGCAGGAGGAUCAUGAGUUCAAGGCUUGUCUGGGCUAUGUAGUACCACGUGUUUCAAAACCAUAACAAAGAAGAAGGGAGGAGGAGGAGAAGGAGGGGUAAAGAGGAGGGAUGAGGAGUGGGGGGAAGAGAGGAGGAAGGAUAGGACUUGGAUCCAUGCUCUACUCUUUAAAAAAAACAAGAGGAGGCUGGAGUGAUGGCUCAGCUGUUAAGAGGAUCUUCAACUUUUGCAAAGGGUCCUAGUUUGGUUCCCAGUACCCAUGUCUAACGGUUCUCAACUGUGUGGAACUCCACCUCCAGAUUUGGUGCCCUCUUGUGGCUUGCUGGGAUGUGCACAUGCACACACACACACAGGUAUACCUAAUUAAAUAAGUCUUUACAACAAAACUUUAAAGGCAGAUACAUUUUUUUUCUUUUCUUUUUUUCAGAGCUGGGGACUGAACCCAGGGCCUUGCGUUUGCUAGGCAAGUGCUCUACCACUGAGCCAAAUCCCCAACCCCAGGCAGAUACAUUUAUUAUGAUCCUAUAGAUACCAUCAAAACCCCCUUUAAGCACCCUGUUCAACAUGUUAAGCACAUUCAUGACAUUCAAUGUACAGGAUGACUUUGUAGCUUUUCCCCCUGUUUUAAAAUGGAAACUGGGCCCAGUGAACACCAGCUCUCCCUCCUCCUAACCCAGCAUGCAUCUCUCUAGUCGCUGAUUCUAUGAAAGUGACCCUUUUAGGAAACUCCCAGGUACAGGCAUGGCCUUGUCGAAGCUUGUUCAUUUCACUAGCUCAAUGUCCUCAGAUUUCCUCCACAUGACAGCAACACCAGACUUUUCUUCCCACUGGGUGGUAGUACAUGCCUGUGACUUCAACACUCGGGAGGCUGAGGCAGGAGGAUUGAAGGUUGGAGGCCAGCCUUGGGUGAAACCAAAUCACAGACAAAUAAGUAGAAAGUAUUCCCUUUUCGAAGCUUACUAGUGUGAUGUAGUAGGCAACUCCUUCGUUUUUAGUUUAUCCACUGUCAGCGAACACUUGAGUUGCUUAUGAUGUCUGGCUUCUGUAAGUAAGGUUGCUUUGAACAAGCAUGUAGAAAAUUGUCUUUGAGACCUUGCUUCCAAUUCUCUUGGAUAUAUGCCCUGAAUUACAGUUACCAGAUCAUAUGAAAAUGAGGAAUCUAAUGUUGAUGGUGCCAUAGAAGCCAGAGACCUCGAACUAGACUCAUUGUAAUGGACAUUUGCAAGUGAAGUUGUGUAGACAGAGGAGUGCGCUGUGGGACACACUGAGACAUGUUACGGCACCCACAACGAGAUGUUUUUCUAUGGUUUGUUUUGCUUGGUUUGUUUUAUCUGUUCAUGUGGUUUUUAUGUGUUGGGGGAGGGUUGCAAGGGCAGAUAUGAGGGGACAGGGGGAUGAGUGGGACUGGAGUACAUGUUGUGAAACUAGCAAAGAAUCUACAAAAAAGGGCUGGAGAGAUGGCUCAGCGGUUAAGAGCACUGACUGCUCUUGCAAUAGGCCCUGAGUUCAAUUCCCAGCAACCACAUGGUGGCUCACAACCAUCUGUAAAGAGAUCUGAUGCCCUCUUCUGGUGUGUCUGAAGACAGCUGCAGUGUAUUAAUAUACAUUAAAUA